UAGUCUUCAUAAGAGUCAAAUGCUUUUAUGUUUAAGGAUAAGCUGUGAAUGUACCAAGUUUACUUGGGAAUUGUGUGAUUUCACGCUGCUGAAAAAAGUUUCGUAGGAAGAAAAUAUUGCCCGUACCGCAAACCGACACAGGUACUCGAGUGGAGAACACUAAGGUGAGCGAGUGAACUAUUGUUAAGGAACUCUGCAAAAUGAGUCCGUAACUUCGGAAGAAGGACUGCUGGUUUUAUACCAGCCGCAGCAAAUAGGCCCAAACAACUGUUUAUCAAAAACACAGGUUUCUGCAAAAUCGUAAGAUGAAGUAUAGGGGCUGACGCCUGCCCAGUGCUGGAAGGUUAAAAGGAGGACUUAGCUUCGGCGAAGGUCUUAAUUGAAGCCCCAGUGAACGGCGGCCGUAACUAUAACGGUCCUAAGGUAGCGAAAUUCCUUGUCGGGUAAGUUCCGACCCGCAUGAAAGGCGUAAUGAUUUGGGCGCUGUCUCAACAAUAGACUCGGUGAAAUUUAAAUUCCAGUGAAGAUGCUGGGUACCCGCGACAGGACGGAAAGACCCCGUGGAGCUUUACUGUAGCUUGAUAUUGAAUGUUUGUGCUGCAUGUGCAGGAUAGGUAGGAGACUUUGAAGUCGGAACGCUAGUUUCGAUUGAGUCACCCUUGAGAUACUACCCCUGUUGUAUGAACGUUCUAACUC
rnacentral:rRNA from 1 species